GCAGAAAUGAGGACUGUAAUCAUUAGAGAGGGAAUUGAGAAGUGAAUGGAGGCUUGGAUGCAGGCACUCACGGAGAACUCUCAGAGUGAAAAGAAAGCAACCAGGUAAAGGAAUCAUAGAAGGAGGAAGAAUACUUCCUGGAAGUUUCAUGAAUAUGCGCCUGAUGCUUUCACUCCAUAAACCUUCAUGUCCGGCUCCCAAUGAGCCAUGCCUCAUCUCACCAGCUGGACUCAUUAUGUGUGUUUUAAGUGGCUGAAUCAUCGCCUUUUCUCCCUCUCACAUUACUUCACAAACACUAAAAGGCAGAAUUGUCUUCUUUCCCAUGAUCUAGUCUCAUGUCUCAUAGCAAAGUAAUACCCAUUGAACUAAAAUAGCUGUCAACUUGCUAAUAAAUAAGAAGUAUUAAACUAAACUCACACUAAUGGAGCUGUGUAGGGGUGACAAGGUAUUCAGAGCCAGUCAAGCGUCCCAGCAGCUCACUCCUGAGGGCGCCACUUCAUAAACAGAGGCAUUGAUGGGCAUCCCUGAACGCCGGGGGCUUCCCAAUUCCCACAUGUCAUGAACAAGUGAGGACAGAUAUUAAUUGGAAUGGUACUUGAUAUCACCAUCAGAGUUAAACAAACUUGCCA
rnacentral:lncRNA from 10 species